UAAAUAAACCUACUCCCCAAUUCAAUUAUUGAAUUGCACAAAUUUCCUUUCAAUUUUUCAUUCCAAUCCUCUCCUGCUCCAAAUCACCGUUCGUCGCCUAGCCUUCUUUCGCUCCGUCGCUGGACUUCAUUUUCUCGAGUCUCAAACUUCGUGACUCCGUCAUUCAUUUGUGUUGUUGUGCUAUGCCGUGCCGUGCCAUGCAUCCUUGUUUAUUCAACCGUGAUAGUUCGAGGCUUCGAGCCUCGAGGUAGACGGUGUCGACGAUGCUUUCGACAAUCGACAGUAGGCAUGAGGCACCGAGCUGUAGCUCUAAUUGGUAAAGGAUUUGAAAAAGAAGGAGAAUGAACUCCAAGCUAAGGAGGCUGAACUGAAAAGAGGGAACAGGAACAGAAAAGGAGGGAAGGUACUAUUGCCUGACGUAAUUUUCUGUCUUAUACGCCCUUUUACAUUUUAUGUAGAUCUGAGGGUAGAACUUUGUCAUUAUCUUGUACAUGGCACAUUAUUGAUCUUUUAAGUUCUUGUACAACUGGAGUUGUUAAGGAAAAAAACUGGCCACCAUAUAUCACUAUUAUUCAUCAUGACAUUGCAAAUGAAAUUCCAAUUCAACUAUAGAAGCUGCAGUAUUUUGCAUUCACAA